CUCACAACACAUCUUCCAUUGGCUGUUUGUCGCAAGAAAAUAAUGUUUCUUUCAAGUCUACAGAAUUCUGGUGGACCCACAGAGCCCAGAAAUUCGAUGGAACUCACAGCCAGUACGAGACAAACUUAUCUCUAGACCAACUUGAAAUAUGAUGAAGAAACACUGGAUGAAGAAACUUAGAAAAUAUGCACGUGCCUCCAGGCGUCUGCCUUCUGAUCCUUGAAGAGUUUAUGGACCUAAGUUAAGAACCUCCCCUCAAGAGACUGAAUGCAGGCAGAGAUGGCUUAUUGGUUCAUCACAGAUUAUGCGAACUACCCACUGUGGCCAAGGAAGUCUUCGCUGAGAAGAAGGCAUUUGACCUGAGACCUGUAGGACAAGAAGCUGGGCAGGUGAAGGUUGGGCAGAGAACAUUCCAAGCAGAGAAAACUGCAUGAGGCCUGAGUUUCAGCUGAAGCUUGGCAUGUCUGGAGAAAGAAAAGUGAACAAUGCAGAGCAGAUGAAAACCACUUUCUACAAGGCAAACAAUAACAACAGCUUCUGUGAAUUAAACAUCGACUGUGUCAGGCACUUGGCAAACAUCAUCUCAUUUAAUUCUCACACCUUCUCAAGUAGAUUAUAAAACCAAGUCACACGGAAGAUAAAUAACAUGCUCAACAUCACCCAGCCAGAAGUGGUGAAGACAUGACUAACCUUGCAGGGGACAACUCCUGAGUCUGUGCUAGGAACAGCCAGUCUUCCUGUGAAGGCCCUCACAGAAAGAGGAAGAACGUGAAAACGGAGGCUUAUAGAGAUCAUAUUAUUUUCCCCAAGUCGCAAUGAUGGUAAACACAGAUGACAGCUGGACAUCAACUGGGUCUGGGUGGCCUCCAACUCCAGUGACUCAACGCUGCUCCACACGGCCUUCUUACAAGGAAAAAUGAGAACAGAGGCCGCAGGCCGGCUUCUGUGAAUCGCGUGUUGUUGGAAUUCCUGUCCUUCCUUGACCCAGAUUUGUAAACAGAGGCUGUGGAAGCCAAGAAAUGAAGAUUCUGAAGUACCUAGUGAGGAUUCUGACAUACCUAGAAUAUUUGGAUGGCUGCUGCUUGAAUGGAUGGCCUUGAGACACCUGAAGACCCUGAUGUGCCUUCUGAAUCAAACCAUGACUCAAUUACAUCCAUCAUUUAAUAACAACAAUUUUAGAAGGGUGUCCUGAAGGAGUACCAUAUUGAAUCCAGUGUUUAUGGGGCCUUCGUUUCAUGGGAUUGGAGUUGGAACCCAGAAUGGCAAAGUGACUCACCCACAGCAACCAGGAGCAAAACCCAAAGAGUUGCUAGCUGUUGGCUGGAAAUCAAACAAAACAAAGAAUUAAUUGGAGCUAAGGCUGUGGAGAGUGCCAGCCUGUGACAUGCAUGGAAGACAGCAAGGAAAGCCUGGAGUGACCUGGACUACAUAGCAGAAAGAAAAAUUCCUGCAGGGACAAUGUGGAAAGACUAGGGAGGAACACGGAAGGAGGUGGCAGCCAUCGUCCAUAGCAAACUAACACAGGAACAGAAAACCAAAUACAGCAUGUUCUCACUUAUAAGUGGGAGCUAAAUGAUGAGAACACAUGGACACAAAUGGGAACAACAGACACUGGGGCGUACUUGAGGGUAGAAGGUGGGAGGAGGAAGAAGAUUAGAAGAAAUAACUAUUGAGUACUAGGCUUGGUACCUAGCUGAUGAAAUGAAUCUGUACAACAAACUCCUGUGACAAGAGACUGCCUAUGUAACAAACCUGCACAUGUUUCCUUGAAUCUAAAAUAAAAGUUUAAAAAAAUAAUAAAAAUAAAAAGGAUUCUGAUGCCCCAGACUAACUUACACUCAGUAAAUACAUUUUGAUGUAUUUGUGGGCCAAAGCUCCUCAUGGAGAUGAUGACGACGACGACGACGAUGAUGAUGAUGAUGAUGAUGGUGACGACUGUAUUGAUAACGGUAAUAAAAAACAUAGCUUUCAUAUGGAGUCAGGUUACAUGAGAUACAAUACUCUUUCAGAGGGACAAAGCAUGAUUCAGAGGAUGGUGAUGGUGGGGUCUAGAGGAGCAAGAGACUUUUGCUCGAUGGUCAUAUAGCAGCUUAGAAACCACACUCAUGGUCAGAUGUGGUGGUUCACGCCUGUAAUCCCAGCACUUUAGGAGGCCAAGGUGGGCAGAUCAUGAG